CAGAAACCAGAUAAUAAUAUUACGUCGUAAGUUUUGUCUUAGGUUUGUUCUUAAAUUAUGAGAUUAUCGUCGCGUAUCGUUGGAUUUAUUUAAUCAUCAAAGAGUAAUAAUGAUAAUAAUAAUAAACACUCGAAUAAUAAUAAACGCUUUUUUACAAUUUUUACAAUAAGAAAAAGAAAAGAACGUGAGAUUAUAUUAGUUAUCGUUUAAUUAAACCUCGACAAUUUCUAAACUCUGGGACUCUGAGGCAUAAUCGAUUUUACUCGCUUUACGUGUAACGAUCGCUUUCACUUUAUAAAAUAGGCUGGCAAACGAGUAGCCUUGAACCACGCAAUCCAGUUUUUGCGAGGAAUUAUUGUUGUCUCUGGAGAGGGGAACAAAAUAUGAACUCUUAGCGCAUUCUUACGCCCUCAUUCUGAAACAUUCUAGAUUCGAAAAAAAAGCAGUGACACUCACGCCAAUAUCUUCGGAAUAACAAAAGUUUCCUGGAUAUCAGAAGAAGUGCAAUUUCCUUCGUUGGCAGGAAUAAAAGGAUGCAAUAAGAAGGGGCGAAACAUCUCGAUCUACUCCAGUGGUUCUCAAACCAGGCAAGGGAACCCUAGACAGUUUGAGAAACGCUGCUCUAUUGGAUCGGUAACAGCUGAGGGGCGAGAUGCCACGGGUCCGGAUGAAGGAAGUGAAAGUAAUUUUCAGAAAUUCGUGACUUACGUAUAUAUACACACACGUAUGUACAUACGUAUGUAUUCGAGUUGUGCUCGCAGAGCAGUCGAACCGCGGAUGCACGCGAUAGCUGAAACUAGGGGAAAAUGCAAGAACCGUGUUCAACAAUUAUUCGACUGUACAAGCGUUGCAAAGUCGAUAAUUGCAAAGUCGCUGACCGAGCUAUAUAGUUCGAGAAAUAAGUGAAUUAUUAAUGGAAGUAACUCCUCCCUCCCCUCCCCCGCAAAAUAAAUUUAAACAUCGCUUCUGAGCCAUGAAAAUGGUAACUAUAAACAACAUUUGGUGAAAUUACGCGAAAUAAUUACAGUUUGCAAAAUGUAACUAAAACAUUUCCAUAUAUAUAUAUAUAUUGAUCGUGUAACUUUAACAAGAGAUAAAAGAAACUAGGGGUAAAUAUUAAUCUGGAGAAGUUGUCGAAAGAUAUUAAAAGAUUAGUUCAAAGUUAGAAGAUGGAUUGAUUGAUUAUUCAUCGGGCAAGUUUGAAAGUUUUUUUUUUUUUAGAAUUUCUUAUUUUCUGUUAUCGAUCGAAAAGUUUUUAUCAUUUUUGCAUAUAUUUGUUGUUACAUCUUAUUUAAAAAAAAUAAUAAUAAUAAUAAUAAUAAAAUGUAUUUGUGAUAUAUAAUGAUAUUAUAAACAUCUUUUUUUCAUUAUUUAUAUUUCCAUUAACAUGAUUGAGCGAAGAGUUUGCUUGUCAAAUUGUAUUUUGCUGUGCGCAGCGUAAAUACACGGAGACAUACAGGGAGGAGGGAGGGGGGGAGGGAGAGGAACAAUAAGAGAAAAAUCGGAGCGGCCAUCCACUGGUAAUCGGAACGGCACCUAAGGAUAUUGGUUGUAAGGAAUAUUGCCACUUUAUCGAUAAUGCGACUAAGUCCAAUGGCAAUCUUAAUC